AAUAAUUCCUUUUCAUUGUGUUAGAGGACUUUUGGUGUCAAUGGCCCCAAAACCGAUUUAAAUAUCCAAAAAAUAACUAUUUUGUUGCUUGUCCAUUUACAGACCCUUCGACUUCGGUUAGGCCUACGGUGUUAAAUGUUAAACUGAUAUUAUGUCAUAAAAUGUAGGCUAGCCUAUGUCUUAUUUUUUUAUUAUGCACACAAACUGCAAAUAGUUUUGCCAACCAAUGCUCAUUGCUGUUUUAUUGAAGCUGGUCAGAUACACAAACAACACAACAAAUGCAGAAAUAGAUAUAGUCAUUAAUUAAUAUUCGGGAGAUUCUGUUGCUAUGACGCGCCGCCACGCAUUGUGGCGGCGCGUCAUAUCUUCCUCACACAGUCUACACGUGCGUUCACAUCGCUGGGAAUUAUGGGAAAAACCUUUUCGCGACGUCGGAAAGUUUGCGUGAACUCCACCUCAUGACGCUGUUAUGAUUCUACUUCCGUUCGGCAACUGGGGCCAAAUUUAGUUAACAGAGUUGCCCAGUUGGUGACGUAUGGUGACUCAUUGUAUACUAGUGAUGCGCAUGACCAUGUCGGACCUCAACGCAAAAGUUUUGAACGUAUACAUGGAUGAAAAACUGCAGCUUUUCUGGGACCCAAGCCUUCAUCAUCCCAUCACCCAAACAUUAUUUCAAAGACCAGGGGAAACUGACCUCUACACUGCUAAGGAUUGGGCUGUAAAAUUAAGAGCAAUUUUGGUGCGUCGUUUACCAUUUGGCACAGCCCAUCCAAGCACCAGUACCACUCCCAGCACCAGUGCCACAGCCAGCACCAGAACCAGUGCCACAGCCCACCCCAGCACAAGUGCCACAGCCAGCACCAGAACCAGCGCCACAGCCCGCCCCAGCACAAGUGCCACAGCCCACCCCAGCACAAGUGCCACAGCCCACCCCAGUACAAGUGCCACAGCCAGCACCAGAACCAGCCCCACAGCCCACCCCAGCACAAGUGCCACAGCCAGCACCAGCACACGCUUCCCGUCCUCACCUUUCAGUGCUCCUGUCCCGUAUGCCUUUAAGGAACUACCACAAGACCUCUCCAGCACCUCCAUCAAGCCCCGUCAGGUCUUUACAACCGACCAAACCCUCUAUUUGAUUGACCUGAUGCGUGGCCACCUCACCGAUGGCCAAGCUGAGCUCCCCCAAACUCUGGCUGAGCUUACGGACAGAGUCAAGCAAACAAGGGGGCAACGGAAGGCCUUCUGGCACGACAUUUCCCAGAAACUUUCUGAGCAUUUCUCCCUUACUUUUGACAACGAAAGGGUGUCUCGUAAGUGGGAAACAUUAAUAGAUGCCUACAAAAGAGUGAUCGAUAACAACUCCUCCACUGGGCAGGGGACAAUGAAGUUCCAAUUUUAUAGCCAAUUUAAUGAGCUUUCAAUUUAAUGUGGACUUCCAAUUUAAUGUGGACUUAUAAUGAGCUUUCAAUUUAAUGUGGACUUCCCGGUAAUUGGAACGGCAAAGGGGGUGACAAUUGUCAGGCCGGAGGCUCUGUUAAGGGAACCUCAUUCCUUAGAGGAGAAUAGGUCAGGCUCCCCGGGCAGGUCAUCUACCCAAAAAAGAAAGAAAAAGGGGCGAGAGGGAGACCUUUGCGAAAUCCUGAAAGAGGCAGAAGCUGCCAAGCAAAGGCGUUUUGAUAAAAUGUUCAGUUUCAGGGAAGAGUCCCAUGCUGAUUUUAAGAAGAUGAUGCAAGCCUUACUAGACAAGGAGUGAAAUGGUGGAUUGAAGGCAUGUGUAGAUACUUUUUGUUAUUAUUCGAAAUUUUACUGUUAAAUAAGAUCCUGAUUUUGUUGUUAUUUAUUUUGUAAAGUGUUUAUUUAUUUCAUGUUUUUCAAACAAAGGGUCAUAAAAUGAUAUAAUUUUUUUAUUUGAAUACAGGCAAAUAAGGGAAAUGAAUUGAACAAAUUGUUUCUUAAAUGCCUGCAAAAAAAACCACAUGCUUCCAUAAUGGAAAUAAAAAAAAUAAAACAAAACAACAAAAUCUUCUUGAAUGGGUCUUUCUUCUCCCUAUGCAUUUUCAUCCCCCUGCCUGGGACAUCCAUUAGGGUGUUCAUUGCAUGCUCCAUCCGCCAGCCCAAUACACAUGUUAUGGAGGGGACAGCAUGAGACGAUGGUCUUCACGAUGACAUCCAGACGGCUGUUCUGAAGAUCCCUAGGCCUCCUCCAUCUACAUUUAAGACCUCCAAAAGCAUGUUCCACCACCACUCUGCCUCUACUGACUCUGGCAUUCAGCUGUUGGUCAGCAACACUCAAUGCUCCAUUGUCCCUCUUAGGGGUGACAAUGAAUGGGUAGUGUCUGCAAAUAUAGGCACUGUCUCCAAGGAGCUUAAAUUUUCCCAUUGACUCCCUCCAAUCUUCAAAAAGGGUUAUGUAUACCAGCGUUAAUAUCUAAUUGUAAUGAUUUUUAUUUUCUACAGAAAAAUGUCUGGAAAUGAUCACAAGUCCCCGGCAGACUUUGAAUCCUCGGACCACCCGGAUUCGAUUGCGAUGAGGGAUCAAGCCCGCAAAAACUAUGCAAGUUAUCAACAUUUGCAUCUUUGCAAGCCUGAAUGAAGAACAUUUAAUUUAAUACUAACGUAGGAUUUUUUUUUAAUAGCACAUUUGUGUAGAUGAGAUCUACACAAAGGUCCAGAAAAUGGACCACGCCUACAAGUUCGGAAUGAUGGUAUGCAAGCAGACUGUAAUCUACACCGAGCAGGCGAAGUACUUUGCAGCACGGGAGAAAGUACACAAGCAGCAACUCCAAUUCCUGCGGAGCGAAGUCGAAAGACUUCCAAGCAGCGGUGGAAAACACCACACCAUCAACCAGUUGGGACUGGAACUCGGGACAUCCCAGGCCAGCUUAACAGCUACGCAGACCGAUCUGGACGCCACAAAAAACGGUAAAAAAAAUGCAGAUUACCCAACAACAUGUGAAAACAACUUAAUUACAUGAAGGACUUCAGCCAACUCCCACCGACAGAAAACUCAGACUAACAGACAUAUUUAUAUUAUACCUAUGUGUUUUAAUUUGGUUGGAGAUUUCAAGUCUGAUGAUUUUACCCAUUAGACUACACUCUACCAACUAAUUUAUUAACCUAGUUUACAAAAUGUGCAUCCCAAUCCAAAUGACGAUUACAAAUGGAUUAUUAACAAUUGCUUUCAUUCCUAUCUAGAAUUGGACGACCUCCACUGCAUGAACGCCUCCCAAGGUAUGACAAUACAUGGUGUUAAUAUUGAUAAAAAAUGCAAAUUACCCAACAACAUGUGAAAACAACUUAGUUACAUGAAGGCUUCAGCCGACUCCCACCUACAGAAAUCUCAAAACGUGUUUGUAGCAUCAGUAGACUAACAGACAUAUUUAUAUUAUGGCUAUGUGUUUUAAUUUGGUUGGAGAUUUCAAGUCUUAGGAUUUUACCCAUUAGACUAUACUCUACAAAUUAACCUAGCUUACACAAGCAACCAAAAAUGCAUACCAAUCCAAAUUACUAAUUAAUAUUAACAUUUGCUUUCAUUCCUAUCUAGAACUGGACGACAUCCACUGCAUGACCGCCUACCAAGGUAUGACAAUACAUGGUGUUAAUAUGGAUUUUAUUUGUCAUGCAUAACACCUGUGAAAAUAAUGCAAAACGAUCAUUCCUCCCAUCAGAUACUGAUUCCUCCCAUCAGAGAUUGUCUUCAAAUAUGGAUUUGAUUUGUCAUGCAUAACACCUAUUAGCCAAUUGUGAAAAAUAAUGGAAACGAUCUUUCCUCCCAUCAGAUACUGAUUCCCCGCAUCAGAGAUUGUGUUCUAAGAGAGUCGAUGAAGAUGACUUCAUGGACGAGAAUGGGAACGGAGGUACACCUUCUUCUUUUGAAUGACUGUCAGUGGUUGUAAAAAAUACAUGCAGGCUUUAUGCCCAUAUGCUAAACCUGCAUGACUUAGCUCAUUAAAAAAACAAAAACAGCAAACUAAUACUUUUUUCUUUACAUUUUGCAGAUCUACCACCAGGCCCCUGAAAACAGAAACGGAGGACAAUGUAAAUAGUGUGUAAAUAGUGUGAUGUGUUGUAAGCGCG
rnacentral:lncRNA from 1 species